rnacentral:rRNA from 1 species
UACGUAGGGGGCUAGCGUUGUCCGGAUUUAUUGGGCGUAAAGAGCGUGUAGGCGGCCAGACAGGUCAGCUGUGAAAACUCGAGGCUCAACCUCGAGACGUCGGUUGAAACCGUCUGGCUAGAGUCCGGAAGAGGAGAGUGGAAUUCCCGGUGUAGCGGUGAAAUGCGCAGAUAUCGGGAAGAACACCCGUGGCGAAGGCGGCUCUCUAGGACGGUACUGACGCUGAGACGCGAAAGCGUGGGGAGCGAACAGG